UUGGCAGUCGACUAGAGUUUGACUCCUGCUCAGGACGACGCUGGCGGCGUGCUUAACACAUGCAAGUCGAACGGAAAGGCCCCCACCUUGGUGGGGGUGCUCGAGUGGCGAACGGGUGAGUAACACGUGGGUGAUCUGCCCUGUACUUCGGGAUAAGCUUGGGAAACUGGGUCUAAUACCGGAUAGGACCAUGGUUUAGUGUCUCAUGGUGGAAAGAUUAUUGUUUUGGUGCAGGAUGAGCUCGCGGCCUAUCAGCUUGUUGGUGGGGUAAUGGCCUACCAAGGCGUCGACGGGUAGCCGGCCUGAGAGGGUGGACGGCCACAUUGGGACUGAGAUACGGCCCAGACUCCUACGGGAGGCAGCAGUGGGGAAUAUUGCACAAUGGGCGCAAGCCUGAUGCAGCGACGCCGCGUGGGGGAUGACGGCCUUCGGGUUGUAAACUCCUUUCGUUAGGGACGAAGCCACACCUUUUUUGGGUGUGGUGACGGUACCUUUGUUAAGAAGCACCGGCUAACUAC
rnacentral:rRNA from 1 species